UGCCCGUUCGUCCAACCGGCAGGACUCCGGACCCUGGAUCCGGCAAUCGAGGUUCGAACCCUCGACGGGCAG
rnacentral:tRNA from 1 species